rnacentral:rRNA from 1 species
UACGGAAGGCAGCAGGUGGGGAAUAUUGCACAAUGGGCGCAAGCCUGAUGCAGCCAUGCCGCGUGUAUGAAGAAGGCCUUCGGGUUGUAAAGUACUUUCAGUCGUGAGGAAGGUGUUAAGGUUAAUAACCUUAGCAAUUGACGUUAGCGACAGAAGAAGCACCGGCUAACUCCGUGCCAGCAGCCGCGGUAAUACGGAGGGUGCGAGCGUUAAUCGGAAUUACUGGGCGUAAAGGGCACGCAGGCGGUUAAUUAAGUUGGAUGUGAAAUCCCCGGGCUUAACCUGGGAAUGGCAUUCAAGACUGGUUAGCUAGAGUCUUGUAGAGGGGGUAGAAUUCCAUGUGUAGCGGUGAAAUGCGUAGAGAUGUGGAGGAAAUACCGGUGGCGAAAGGCGGCCCCUGGACAAAAGACUGACGCUCAUGUGCGAAAGCGUGGGGAGCAAACAGGAUAGA